rnacentral:rRNA from 1 species
CGGCGGACGGUGAGUAACACGUGGAUAACCUACCUAUAAGACUGGGAUAACUUCGGGAAACCGGAGCUAAUACCGGAUAAUAUAUUGAACCGCAUGGUUCAAUAGUGAAAGACGGUUUUGCUGUCACUUAUAGAUGGAUCCGCGCCGCAUUAGCUAGUUGGUAAGGUAACGGCUUACCAAGGCAACGAUGCGUAGCCGACCUGAGAGGGUGAUCGGCCACACUGGAACUGAGACACGGUCCAGACUCCUACGGGAGGCAGCAGUG